UUUAGUAGGGAUUCUACAGAUGAUAUACCUACAUCUAUUCCUGCACCACUAUUACCACUAGUGCCACCUAAACAGCAUGACAAAACUCUAGAGAGGCGGUUUUGGAAACAGUUAAGAAGAAGAAGAACAACACAUACAGACAGUGUCUCACCAAAGUCAUCUUCAAUCCCAGCCUCAUAGCAAAAAUAGAAUUUAUUCAACCACAAUGUGUUUCAAUUAGUUAGAAUUAAAUCAUUUGAAACUAAGUCAA